UACGAAGGGGGCUAGCGUUGCUCGGAAUCACUGGGCGUAAAGCGCACGUAGGCGGACUCUUAAGUCGGUGGUGAAAUCCUGGAGCUCAACUCCAGAACUGCCUUCGAUACUGCGGGUCUCGAGUCCGGGAGAGGUGAGUGGAAUUCCUGGUGUAGCGGUGAAAUGCGCAGAUAUCAGGAGGAACACCGAUGGCGAAGGCAGCUCGCUGGGACGGUACUGACGCUGAGGCGCGAAAGCGUGGGGAGCGAACAGG
rnacentral:rRNA from 1 species